rnacentral:tRNA from 1 species
GGUAGUGUGGCUGAGGAGUCUAAGGUGUUGGCUUAAGGCUCCAGCCUCUUUGGAGAUGUGGGUUUGAAUCCCACUACUGCCA